rnacentral:misc_RNA from 1 species
CUUCUCUCUCUCUCUCUCUCUCUACCUGUUCAGUUUGGCCACUCCUUUAUUGCACUGCAUAUUGUUGCACAUGGCAGAGAUCAUAGUAAUAAAAGUUUAAAACUUUUCUGGCGAAAGGAAAAUUUAUUAAUAGAAGAAAUGGAGGGAAUAAUUAGAAUAACCAAGAUCCUUUUCUUAGUAAAACAACAUAUAAAAGUAAAUAAUAACAAAGAAAAGCCUUCAAAACCUGUUAGAUAUGCGCAAUAGAUACCAGUUUACAUCCUAUGGUGAUUAACACCAAUAAAAAGAAAAAUAAAGAAGCAUGACAAAUAGAGAUUUCUCAAAUGUAGCAAAAUAUUAAAUAUUUGUUAUGAGCCACAAAUACUUCAGCAACUAGAACAUGUGGAUAUUUGAAUGAUGAAGAUUUUAAAUGCUCAGUAAUUUCUAAACAAUAGAAAAAACAAGGUAAUGACAUAUAUCAUACAUAUUCUAAGAUCCAGAGUAAUAACCAGUCACGGGCAUGCAUAGAAAGAUGGGUUGCUAUUCAUGGAUUUAAAUAAAGGCCACUAUAUAAAGGUUUUGUAUGCUAACUUUACCCCUGUUACCUAAAAUACAUUUUCUUUUAGUACAUGCUGUUGUCACUAUUACAUAACAGUAACAGCCGUUACCCUUUUUGUAACAGUCCUUAUCAUAUAAAAGGACUUCAAGCCCAAGACCCAUUUCAGUGCUUCUUUUUAUUUUUCCUCUUCUUCUUUUCCCAUUUCAACCCACUUGAAAUUAAUUCUGCAUUUUACUUAGUACCAAGAGAGAAGAGAGCCUCUUAGGCACUCAUUUUGGCGGUGAUAAGGUUAGUUCUCUAUUCUCAACUCUAUAUUGUGCUAGUUAUUAAAGUUAAUUGUUAAUACUGAAUAUAAAUCAUGGAUUCAAUGUCUUUAUUUUAUGUAUUUAUGCUUACAAGUUAGUUGGAUUCUAUUAAUAUCUGUUAGUUUACCUCAUUUUUCUAGAUUUUAUUUUUCUUAAAAGUUAGCAUAGCGAUAGGUUGUUACCAUUAUGUUACGGCCACGACAGCCCUAUUUCCAUGACACGUAACUGCGGUUUACAUCUAUGGUUCCAAACUAGUAUAUUAAAGUCCACAUAUUUAAUUAUUCUCUCUGGAAGAAAUCCAAAGGAAGUUAAGAAAAAAGGAGCAUUACGUCCCAAAGAGCAACGUGUCGAUGUCCUCUCAAGUCAAAUAUAACUUAAAUAACCAGGAGACAAGAAUUAAAGCUGACAAUACCUGAACACAGGCCUGGAACUUGUUCCGGGUACGACUAAAUUCACACUCUGUCCAGCUAAGUGCACGGCAGAAACUGAAAUUAUGUUUUAACCAAAUACAGAAAGGCAGCUAGAUAGUUAUUAAUUCAAAUAUGCAUGUAUGAAAGAGGAAAGUAAAAGAAAGAAGUAACUGAUUAGUGAAUAUAAUCAUGUCUUCAUAAAAUAAGUAGAUUAAAACAAGUUGCAAUAACUAUCAUCAAUUAUCUUAGCAAUGACAAUUUCUUGCAGGUAAAUCCUUUGCGAAAAUAAAUAAUUGUCAAGGAAGGAAAAAUGUCAGUAAGUAGGAAGAAUAUCAUAUCAUUUUUUGUCAGUGAUCAAAUAUACCAAACUAAUGGCAUAAGAGCAUUUGAGAAAGCAGCCUUACUUUCUCUUGUGCAUCUCCCGACAAGCCUGAAUGAGACCAGCACAUGCAAGCCUCACAUGCUCAGCGCCAAUACUGUAAAACCACAUAUGGAGGGAGGAUCGACUAAGUAAUUAUUUAUCAUAACAAUAACUAACUAAUCUUCAAAUUAAUUCAUGAGGCAACAAUAAACCAUGUUAACAAUAUCACAAGACACAUUUAUUUUAGCUCUUUUCAGGGAGAAAAAAUCGAUUAGAUUUUAUUAUAUAUCCACCUAUCAUGCUAAGUAGCUGGUAAUUUUAAUAUAGCAAAGAAAAAAUAGCCAAUGUAGGAUCACAUGAUCAGGACUUAAUAUUUCAGGACUUCCUAGCAACUAAUAUGCCCAUAUUUUUGUCCAAACCAUGAUAGAUAACUUCCCCACUUCAAAAUUUGAUAAAAUAUUCACAUACUCAUGCAGCCAAGCACAUUAUAUAAAUCACAUGUCAGUAAGUUUACCCACUGGUAUAGUCUUUUUUGCCAUUUAAAUACACAGAAAAUUCAUCAAAUUAAAUUUCUAAAUUUAGCCUUUCUGUUUGACAAAUCACUAGCAGUGUAGUUUUUAAAAGAUUUGUUUCCUUGAAUGGAUGGCUUAAAAGAAAUGGAUCCCACAAAAUCUGCUUGUUCGCCACCCAUUUGUCAAAAUAAAUUCUCAACAUGUCACAUGGAGUCAAGUAGGAACACUACACACUGAACAUAUUUAUGUGUGGAGCAUCCAAUCCCCAAAUCUUAGGAUAGUCAUGACUUGGCUAUCUUCAACUUUCUUCAUCUGUCUCCACUAAUGAAAUGAAUGUUGCACACUGCACAUCUCUUAUAUAACCCGCGCAUUAGAAAAAUGAAGAGGUCAAUACAACGAAACUAUGUCAAAGAGCAGAAGAAUGAUACACAGUUCUCAUGCUUGUAACAGUGCUGCGUCAUCUACAACCUGAAUCCUAUCACAAUUAGAAAUGGCUGUGCACAUAGACAGGUUUGUAUAAAUAGCAUAGCUAACCAUAUGGAGACCUGAUAGAUCCAUUGCUUUAGCUGAACAACUGGUUCUAGAGAUGAGGUUUAAGCCAAUUGAAUUUUUUUAUUCUUUUCAACCAGCCAUAUAGAAUGAAACAUACUUAUAAAAUGAUUGUUUUUAAGCAACACCUUAGGUUUAUAUGAUGAAAAUGACAAAAUAAAGUGUGUUCUCUAUCAAAAAAAAAGAAAAAAAGAGAUGUUUCAAGUUUGUUACAACAUAAAAUAGUCUGUAGAAAGUUCACAUUAUCAGAUGGCUCAUGUCUAUAAUAUACAGAGUAAACACAAAAUAUGUGUACUUUUGCUAGUCUACAACUCUACAUGUGUGGCAUUUGCAAUCAACAGAUGUUGAACAUUCACUCUUUUUCAUAAAAUGUUUGCUCAUGUCCUCCAUUCAUCAGACAAUACUGUUUCUUACAUUAUGAUAAAAACUACACUGACACAGGGAAAAAAAAAUCAUCUUACUACAAGCUCUUCUCCUCCACUUGGUGGGCUAGAGUUUCCAAGUGAGAAAAAUUAACUUCAGGAAGAUCCCUGUAGAAACCAAAAUGAGUCAUCAAAUAACUCAAAGUAUAUAAUAAAAUUAUCAUAACUGAGUAAAUUUGAGUUUUGAGUAAGAUGGCACGUGUUGCUUGCAAGCUCAGAUAAGAUUGCUUCCACAUCCAAGCAGUAUGUGUUGAUCAACUGCACAACAUGAUCAGGUUCUUCCACAGUUUUUAAAUUUUGAAUAUGAUGAAACUGAUCAUUCACAAUCCCCUAAAAGAAAUGACAUAAAAAUACAACACUAAGCAAUAAGAGCUUUGCAUGUCAUCCAAGCUCAAAUCAUACCCAAUUAAAAUGCAAAUUAUAUUUAAGGCAGAUGAAUCUACACAGUGAAAAAUCAAUAUCAAUAUCAAUAUCAAGAAGUGACAAUCAAACUAAAAUGUUGACCAGUAAAUUUCAGAUCAAUGACCAAAAACUUACAUAUAUAGUUUCACACGCAUUGUAUAUGACUUCCAAGAAAGGAAUAAAGCAUAAUGUUAAAAAAAAAAAAUCCAAAUCGGAAUAUCCUUCCGUCAAAAGCUACUUUAAAUAUAGUUUAGUAUAUGCAUAAUGCUACUAGUAUAGGCUACAAACUAUGUGCAUCUUUUUACUCCCUUCUUUCUGAAGAGGAAAAUUUUAGCAUUCAUGAAAAAUAAUAAUCUUGACUUUAAUUUUAUUUAUUAGUCAUUUUAGAAAUUCAAGAUCUACAUAAGUUCGAUGCAAAAACUUUUUUAGUGCCCUCAAUUACUUUUUUACGAAUUGGUCACUACCUUCAAUUAAGACCCCCAUAAGAAGGUGCUCAGAAAUAGUCUUAAUGGAAAAUUGAGACGUUUAUGAUCACAACACU